AUGUUGUUAGUUUACUCCUACCACCUUGCAGGCUAACUAACUCAUUCAUAGUAUUUCUGGGCAGGGCUGGCCUCAUGGUCAUGUGAUCAACAUAGCUGCACAAAACCCAGGACAAGAGGGCCCCACGAUUGGGGUCUAAUGGUCUCUAGUCACCAUCUUCAAUUUUUUAAUAAUGUCACUUUGAAGUUUUGUUUUACAGGUGAAAUCUCUGGGACAAUGGAGAUUGUGCCGGGGCACUGGAGUCUCAGCUCACACACAGUUCUCCUUCCCACCCGCUCCGCACCUCCCCGGGCUAGGUUCUUGGCUAUCCUCUGCCCGCCCAGCCGCACCCUCCCCAGCCCUGCCCAAGUGUUUGCUUCCAACCUCCAGCCCCCUGGCAGGGACCCGGGUGCAGGUAUGCGUAGGAAUGGGGCGGGGCACCCACAUCCCACUGCAUUUGAUGGCCUAGGAUGGCGGAGGACAUCCUGCCCUAAGCUGGCAGUGCCCUGAUGCAUCAUUGGUAGCCAGCCGGAGUUCACAGCUCGGUGGAGACCAGCCUUUCACCCACUCCUAAUCCCAGUACUUAGACCUUUCUAACUCAGGGCUUGCAGUACCCUCUGGAGUGGCCUACCCGUGUGAGCUGGAGCACCAGGCCUGCGGAAAGCCGAGAUGUCUGCCUGAACUUCACAGGGGAGCUCUCCACCUGCAGCGUGGUGGUCUAUCCCGGCCGGCGGAGCAGCGUGACGCCUGCGCAGAUGCAACGCCGGGAGUCUUGGGAUCGGUCCCAGCGCAGCGGCGGAGACACGUGCUCACCUUGCCAGCGUCCACAUGCGUGAUCCCUGAAGGAGUGUGAUACCUGCUUCGUGCUAGAGGAGCCCUCUCUCUUCCUCCACCACCUUCCUGCGUCUAACUGGUAUACGCUCUUCCGGCCAAGGUAUAUAGGUACCCAACAGAAUCAACAGGAAGCCUGAAGAAUGAAGCUUGAGCUAGCACAAUGAAUCUGAUGCAUGGCCAAGAUCCUGGCAUCAACAACAGUCUGAGGAGGACACCAUUACUGGCCUUGACAGCACUGGACCCUUGCCACCAUGCUGCAGGAUUCUGUUGCCCUUGGUCUGUUCGCCAUUGACCUUUCGACUCCAUAAUGGCUACUUCAAAUAAUUUCUCACUGAACUUUUGUCAUGGUGUCACUUCUUAAAGAUACUGCCAGUCCAUGGAGUAGAAUUAUUUGCCUAAUUUGGGGUUCAUAGACAUUGAGUUCUUCCCAUUUGGGGGCCAGGAAGGGGGUGCUGAUGUAGGCCAACAUGUAUUUAAAUGAAAAGUUCCGGUUUUAUUUCUAACAAAAUUAACCUUCAUGCAAGCUAUGAAGAAGUGGAAGUAGAAUCGUACCAAAUAGCAUUUGCUAUUUUUCUUAAUCUUUUUCAAUUUUCUGAAUAUGGUUUUUUAUUAAUUAAUCAUUAGCCACUAAAGUAUAACAUAAAUUGUAUAAUUAUAAUUAGUUAUAAUUAUAUAAAAUUGUUCAUGAAGUUAAAUUCAUAAUUGCCUUGGUUAAGCUAAUGGUUGAUGCUAUUGAAAUCUCUGAAAGGAAGUCUGAGCCGCACUGCUUGGUGUGCGCCCGCCAUCUAGUGGCAAGACACGUUAAUACCACCAUAGAGAUCCUAGGGGGCUUCAGAGGCCAACCUCGCCAGAGACAGUUUUUCGUACUUUAUAAUUUUCCCAGUGUGUUACCCAAUCAACCGCACAUUUCUUAAGUCUUUGGAAUGAUCUUCCAUUACAUUCAAUUACAUUUCAUGUUAACUGCAAAUUAUAAAUAUCUGUGAGGCAAAGGGUAUCUUAGCAUCACCUGUAACCACAUUUCCUAAACCAGUUCCCUAAGACUGUUUUUAUUUUACGUAUGUCUAGAAACAAUAUGUGGUUUGGGCAUGCUAUUAUUCUCCCACAAAGAAUAUUUUGGCCACUAUAAUAAAAGUGCAGAUUAACACUAGA